rnacentral:lncRNA from 1 species
AACUGGUGCUCCCUGUUCCUUCUUUCCUGCUGCAGCCAUGGGCAAAUUGUGCUUGUGGCCUACCUCGGCCAUGAUUUGCUCAAAACAGAGACCAGCAUAUGUGCUCGCAUGGUUCGAAGUGUAUGAAGUUGAUAGCCGUAUGGGUGGAAAGGCCCGCAAAAAUGGCUGCCGAAGGUGAUGCCCACAAAAGCGACUUCCCAUAUUGAGACAAAGUGGGACACCAUGUGUGAGCCACACAUUAGCGGCCCUCCAAAGAAAAUAAAUGUGCAGGUUGGAAAGGAGUUAACGCUAAAUUGCUGGGUAGUCCAUGUUGCUGUGUUGGCUGUGGCAGCAGAUGCCUGCGUCACCUGAUUGCUUCGCACUGCAACUUGCUCAUCUUUAACGGCGACUGCCGCUGCAAACAGGUCGGACACUCUGUCCAAUAUGCUUGCGCCGCUGGUUGUCACUCGUUACCAGACCGCCAUGUGCGACGAUGACGGUGAGCCAUUUACGAGCUCGCGUCAAUGAUUCCAGCGUAUCUCGACAUGCAAAUUUUAUUUCUGCUAUUGCACGAGAAUGGUACACUGCUUGUCUUCUGCCAAUAAAGUUGCACAUUCUGUUCA